GCCCACGUAGCCCAACUCGGCAGAGGCGCCGGACUAAGGAUCCGGAUGUUGGAGGUUCGAAUCCUCCCGUGGGUACCA
rnacentral:tRNA from 1 species